rnacentral:rRNA from 1 species
CACGUAGGAGGCGAACGUUAUCCGGAUUUACUGGGCGUAAAGCGCGUGUAGGUGGUUUGGUAAGUAGGGCGUGAAAGCUCCUGGCUCAACUGGGAGAGGCCGUUCUAAACUGCCGAACUAGAGGAUGGUAGAGGGAGGUGGAAUUCCGGGUGUAGCGGUGGAAUGCGCAGAUAUCCGGAGGAACACCAGUGGCGAAAGCGGCCUCCUGGACCACUCCUGACACUCAGACGCGAAAGCUAGGGUAGCAAACGGGAUUAGAGACCCCGGUAGUCCUAGCCCUAAACGAUGUAGACUUGGCGUCGGUGGUUUAAACGCCAUCGGUGUCGAAGCUAACGCGAUAAGUCUACCGCCUGGGGACUACGGCCGCAAGGUUAAA